GAUGAACGCUAGCGGCAGGCCUAACACAUGCAAGUCGAGGGGGAAGUUACUUUCGGGUGCCUGAGACCGGCGUACGGGUGCGUAACGCGUAUACAAUCUGCCUUUCACUGGGGGAUAGCCCGAAGAAAUUUGGAUUAAUACCCCAUAGUAUAUAGGGACGGCAUCGUUUUUAUAUUAAAGCUUAGGUGGUGAAAGAUGAGUAUGCGUUCGAUUAGCUAGUUGGAGGGGUAACGGCUCCCCAAGGCGAUGAUAGAUAGGGGUUCUGAGAGGGAUGUCCCCCGCACUGGUACUGAGAUACGGACCAGACGCCUACGGGAGGCAGCAGUGAGGAAUAUUGGACAAUGGUCGGAAGACUGAUCCAGCCAUGCCGCGUGCAGGAUGAAGGGCUUAUGGAUUGUAAACUGCUUUUGUAAGGGAAGAAUAAGGGCUACGCGUAGUUUGAUGACGGUACCUUACGAAUAAGCAUCGGCUAACUCCGUGC
rnacentral:rRNA from 1 species